CCUACGGGUGGCAGCAGUGGGGAAUAUUGCGCAAUGGGCGAAAGCCUGACGCAGCGACGCCGCGUGAGGGAUGAAGGUCUUCGGAUCGUAAACCUCUGUCAGCAGGGAAGAACGGUCACUGUGCUAAUCAGCAGUGAAUUGACGGUACCUGCAAAGGAAGCACCGGCUAACUCCGUGCCAGCAGCCGCGGUAAUACGGAGGGUGCGAGCGUUAAUCGGAAUUACUGGGCGUAAAGCGCUCGUAGGCGGUAUGGCAAGUCAAGGGUGAAAUCCCCGCGCUAAACGUGGGAACUGCCUUUGAAACGGGCAAACUGGGGGGUGUGAGAGGAUAGUGGAAUUGCAGGAGUAGGAGUUGAAUCCG
rnacentral:rRNA from 1 species